CCUAGUCAUAAACAUAGUUCCAUUCAUACAGUUUUAAUUGUCCUUUCCAUUCUCUUUCAGCCGAAAUAUUGACUAUCAAGAAGUUCUCGAUAGUCUUAAAUCCAAAGGAAUCUCAAUAAGAGUGGCUUCCCCAAAACUGGUUAUGGAAGAGGCUCCUGAGUCUUAUAAAAACGUCACUGAUGUCGUUAACACUUGCCAUGAUGCGGGAAUUAGUCAGAAGGCCAUUAAACUGAGACCAAUCGCUGUUAUCAAAGGAUAACCGAAAACAAGCGAGUAAAUCCCAUUCGUCUCGAUAAGGACAUGAAAGAGUACCCCAACAUUACUGGCGUUUCUGUGCUAUGCUUCCUAUCUUUCCAUAUUUCUCCCAUGGGAUAAGCGGUACGUAACGUUGCGUGGCGAGAACUUAUUCAAGACAGUUAUUACUCUUCCAUAUCCUUGAUUUUGGUUGUCACACAACGCCUCCCGGAGAAAGAGUGGUAGACAGCGCUUGGUGACUUGCAGCCAAUCAAGGGAACUUUCACUCUCUCUUCACCUUUUAAAUUGUGAGGAUUUUCAAGAAAGCGAUGGUUUUAAGGCAAAAGCAACAUGACUCAAGCGAAACAGAAACUGAACGAAAAUAAAUGGCUGCUAUUUCCUCCUUGGGUUUCCUUAUUUAUUAAUCUUAUUCAACCAGGGAAGAGUACACGAAUUAUUAUAUUUGGUGAAAGCAACCACAACAAGUAUUAUUAAAUUGGUAAGGUCAUAUAUGGUUACUUUGGAGACAUGGCAGAAUGAGAUCAAUUUAGAUUUAGUUGUUCUUACUCCAGUUACUGAAAAUGUAUUGGAAAGAAACCUUUUUUUCUUUCGGGAAUUGCAUCCGUAACUUGCACUAUUUCUAUAAUCUGAAACGAACUUGAAGGUUUUUAAUAUCUGCAACUUGUUUGUCUCUGGUAUUCUAGUUUUUGAAAGUGGUUUGGAAGGUACCGUAAUGUUGUCACUUUUUGUCGAUCUUUUUCACCUUGUAUCUAAACAAAUUCACGGAACAAAUUUGGUGAUAGAUUUUGAACAACGACCUUUCCUGCUACGCUUUUUCUUCUUACGCUUUUUCCUCGACAGUCUUUGUACAAUUGUACUGGUGAACACUACUAUCGCAAUGCCACUAGUGGUCAUUUUGUUCGUGUAUUAUUUCAUGGACUUCAGCUGUAGUAAGAACAUUAUAUACAAUUGUUGAUACUUGGAAGGACGUGGACUCAGAAGGGAGUGGUAUUUUUCAGAUUUCGUCUUCCAAAAGCUGCCCCAAAAAAAAGGAACUACUUCGUUGCAUUUGGAAUUUAGCAAAACACAUCUACUUUUGAAAUAAAUAAAUCAUAAUGUUAGUAAGGAUAAUGAUGAUGAAAAAAAUUAAAAUCUCAAUGCUGCAAUAACAACUAAUGGUAAUAGUUGCAACAAUAAUCCUUCAGUGCUACAGGUUCGUGGUUUGGUUGGGUUUCUAGCUGACGGAUGUCUUAAAGUACGUUAUCAUAGGUAUAAUGACAACAAUCAUGGUAAAAGCCAUUGUGAUAAAUGAUGCUAAACAAAAUAAUAAGUUAAGAUUCCUUUUAA